rnacentral:lncRNA from 1 species
UCCUUAAGGGAAGUGUUUAUAUAUUUUAAUUUCCUUGAAAUAGAACUUAUGGUCUAUAUGGACAUCAAUAAAUUAUUUGACAUAUAUUUUACAAAUGUGUUUGGGACUCUUCUGACAUUUCAGGUACUUGGAUAGAUCUUUUAAGAGAAUCUAGUGGAGACUGCAGGGUUUUUUUAGUUUGUCCCUAGACUAGAUCUUCAGGUGUUUUGAGAUGUGCAGUCAUAGUCUUUUUCUAAAUUUUACCUGUAGUUGAGGCAGACUUUCAUGUUCAUAUCAUGGAACUUGAUGGGCAGUUUUCAAAUUAUACUAAAUACUAGUAGUGAAUAUUACUCAAAAAAUGCCCUACUAUG